CGAUGGCAUCAGCAGAGGGAUCCAUACCUGCUGGAUUGAUGGCAUACCAAGAGGAAUUCAUACAUGCCUGGAAGAUGGCAUAGGCAGGGGGAUCCAUAUCUACCUGAAGGACGAUGCAGGCAGAGGGGACCCGCCUGGAAGGAGAAAUAGGCUGAAAAAUCAAUCCCUGCCCACAGAGACCAACCAAGCUGAGGGAGAUAUAGUCAUUAGCUUAACAGCGGUCUCAUCAAUGAUCCUGGG